rnacentral:rRNA from 1 species
UACGUAGGGGGCAGGCGUUGUCCGGAAUCAUUGGGCGUAAAGAGCGUGUAGGCGGUUCGGAAAGUCGGAUGUGAAAUCCCGGGGCUCAACCCCGGGCCUGCAUCCGAUACUCCCGGGCUGGAGGCAGGUAGGGGAGAUCGGAAUUCCUGGUGUAGCGGUGAAAUGCGCAGAUAUCAGGAGGAACACCGGUGGCGAAGGCGGGUCUCUGGGCAGUAACUGACGCUGAGGAGCGAAAGCGUGGGGAGCGAACAGG